AUACGUAGGGGGCAAGCGUUGUCCGGAAUCAUUGGGCGUAAAGGGCGCGUAGGCGGGCAUACAAGUCUGAUGUGAAAGUGCGGAGCUUAACUCCGUAAAGCAUUGGAAACUGUAUGUCUUGAGGACAGGAGAGGAAAGUGGAAUUCCACGUGUAGCGGUGAAAUGCGUAGAGAUGUGGAGGAACACCAGUGGCGAAGGCGACUUUCUGGACUGUAACUGACGCUGAGGCGCGAAAGCGUGGGGAGC
rnacentral:rRNA from 1 species